UUAUUUAGUGUUGAAGCUAUCCUAUAAGCCUCGGUAUGGAUGGCAUGGUGCUCUCAACGCGUAGCAAAACAGAUCUUAAGUCCAAGCAUUGAUUGUCUUCGGGUGGUGUUCCCG